rnacentral:rRNA from 1 species
CCUACGGGGGGCUGCAGUGGGGAAUAUUGGACAAUGGGGGGAACCCUGAUCCAGCCAUGCCGCGUGUGUGAAGAAGGCCCUCGGGUUGUAAAGCACUUUCAGUGAGGAAGAACGCCUGGUGGUUAAUACCCAUCAGGAAAGACAUCACUCACAGAAGAAGCACCGGCUAACUCCGUGCCAGCAGCCGCGGUAAUACGGAGGGUGCGAGCGUUAAUCGGAAUUACUGGGCGUAAAGCGCGCGUAGGUGGCUUGAUAAGCCGGUUGUGAAAGCCCCGGGCUCAACCUGGGAACGGCAUCCGGAACUGUCAAGCUAGAGUGCAGGAGAGGUAGGUAGAAUUCCCGGUGUAGCGGUGAAAUGCGUAGAGAUCGGGAGGAAUACCAGUGGCGAAGGCGGCCUUCUGGACUGACACUGACACUGAGGUGCGAAAGCGUGGGUAGCAAACAGGAUUAGAUACCCUAGUAGUC